UUCCUUGCCCCCCCCGCAGGCCGGGCCGGGCUCCCCGCCGCUCCCCUCCCGCAGCGAUGGCGGGGGGGACGUUCCCCUCAGUGAGGGGAACCGACUUCCUUGUUGGCCGCCGCCUCCCCGCCGUCCUUCUCCCCUCUCGGCCGCCUCUGCCCGCUCCCCUUCCUUCUCGGAAGGGAAGCAAAGGCCGCGCUGCCCACCUCCGGGCAGCGCUCCUCCAGCCUCCGCCGCGGCUCAGCUGAGGGGGAACCCCUGCAAAGACACCCCGUUUUUCCCCCGCGGGGGGCGAUCGGUCGAAAGCCCGGUCGCCAGAGCGCGGUGGGCGGCCCGGGGACCGCCGGCGACCGUUUAACGGUCGGAGAGCGACGACCAACCGACGCCCCUCAGCCGGGGGGGCGGCCGCCAUUACCUGCCGCCCGCCCACCUACCUGCCGCCCGCCGCUGUUCCGAGCCUGCCAUGACCGCCGAGAGAGGUGGCGACUUUGGUGUACACGCCAGGAUGACCAGCCUCCCCACAGUUCUCACCCCAGCUCACGAUGCCCCAGACGUACGCCACGUUUUCUGCAUCAAAACAGACCAGGGGUCCUCCUGAAUCACCUUUGCAACUGUCGAUGGAGCCAUCGGUUCUUUUCAACCAGGGGUGUCCUCCAGAUCAGUUUACCAGGAGGCUGCAACAGCAGAGGAAGCAGUACAGAAAAGAGAACCACCAGCGAAAGCCAAAGCCGAACCGCAGCCUGUGUUUUCUGUACUCAGCCUCUUCCCAGUGCUUCGUGCACAGCUGCUCUUCAGCCUUUUCAAAAGGAAAGCUCACCACAAUUAGAAAACGAGGGAUGCAAGUAAUACAUUCUUGUAGCAAGCACUAAAGCAAGUACCUUUCUCCAGUCCCCAUCCAGAAACCUUGCAUCUGUCACCAGCCUUGAACAUAUACUCCGACCAGGGGAUGCAGGCAGGGGUGCUGUACUUCAGGGAGCAUUCUCCUUUCCUGAAACCUCUCAGCUCCAGCAGAGCAAUGUCGUUUUCGAGGACAAUAAUGCCCACUGAAAUUGAUGCUGAACAACCUGGUAUCUGGUAA